rnacentral:misc_RNA from 1 species
AAGACUAUAGACCUGCGGAGUACCUGCGGAAGGAUCAUUACAGAGUUGCAAAACUCCCAAACCAUUGUGAACGUUACCUUCUCGUUGCUUCGGCGGGCGGCCCGGGUCCUUCCCGGCGCCCCCCGGCCCCUCGCGGGCGCCCGCCGGAGGUAAACCAAACUCUUGAAUUGUAUGGCCUCUCUGAGUCUUCUGUACUGAAUAAGUCAAAACUUUUAGCAACGGAUCUCUAGAUCGGAAGAG